rnacentral:rRNA from 1 species
GAUGAACGCUGGCGGCGUGCCUAAUACAUGCAAGUCGAGCGAACGGACGAGAAGCUUGCUUUUCUGAUGUUAGCGGCGGACGGGUGAGUAACACGUGGAUAACCUACCUAUAAGACUGGGAUAACUUCGGGAAACCGGAGCUAAUACCGGAUAAUAUUUUGAACCGCAUGGUUCAAAAGUGAAAGACGGUCUUGCUGUCACUUAUAGAUGGAUCCGCGCUGCAUUAGCUAGUUGGUAAGGUAACGGCUUACCAAGGCAACGAUGCAUAGCCGACCUGAGAGGGUGAUCGGCCACACUGGAACUGAGACACGGUCCAGACUCCUACGGGAGGCAGCAGUAGGGAAUCUUCCGCAAUGGGCGAAAGCCUGACGGAGCAACGCCGCGUGAGUGAUGAAGGUCUUCGGAUCGUANAACUCUGUUAUUAGGGAAGAACAUAUGUGUAAGUAACUGUGCACAUCUUGACGGUACCUAAUCAGAAAGCCACGGCUAACUACGUGCCAGCAGCCGCGGUAAUACGUAGGUGGGCAGCGUUAUCCGGAAAAUUAUGGGCGUAAGCGCGCGUAGCGGUUUUUUAGUCUGAUGUGAAAGCCCACGGCUCAACCGUGGAGGGUCAUUGGAAACUGGAAAACUUGAGUGCAGAAGAGGAAAGUGGAAUUCCAUGUGUAGCGGUGAAAUGCGCAGAGAUAUGGAGGAACACCAGUGGCGAAGGCGACUUUCUGGUCUGUAACUGACGCUGAUGUGCGAAAGCGUGGGGAUCAAACAGGAUUAGAUACCCUGGUAGUCCACGCCGUAAACGAUGAGUGCUAAGUGUUAGGGGGUUUCCGCCCCUUAGUGCUGCAGCUAACGCAUUAAGCACUCCGCCUGGGGAGUACGACCGCAAGGUUGAAACUCAAAGGAAUUGACGGGGACCCGCACAAGCGGUGGAGCAUGUGGUUUAAUUCGAAGCAACGCGAAGAACCUUACCAAAUCUUGACAUCCUUUGACAACUCUAGAGAUAGAGCCUUCCCCUUCGGGGGACAAAGUGACAGGUGGUGCAUGGUUGUCGUCAGCUCGUGUCGUGAGAUGUUGGGUUAAGUCCCGCAACGAGCGCAACCCUUAAGCUUAGUUGCCAUCAUUAAGUUGGGCACUCUAAGUUGACUGCCGGUGACAAACCGGAGGAAGGUGGGGAUGACGUCAAAUCAUCAUGCCCCUUAUGAUUUGGGCUACACACGUGCUACAAUGGACAAUACAAAGGGCAGCGAAACCGCGAGGUCAAGCAAAUCCCAUAAAGUUGUUCUCAGUUCGGAUUGUAGUCUGCAACUCGACUACAUGAAGCUGGAAUCGCUAGUAAUCGUAGAUCAGCAUGCUACGGUGAAUACGUUCCCGGGUCU